UACCAGGUGGUUCACGCUUGAAGCUCUCGUUCGAUCACCGAAGUUAAUCAGUGUCGAGCCCGGUCAGUACUUAGAUGAGGGACCGCUUGGGAACACCG